UGUCGUCAGCUCGUGUUGUGAAAUGUUGGGUUAAGUCCCGCAACGAGCGCAACCCUUAUCCUUUGUUGCCAGCGGUCCGGCCGGGAACUCAAAGGAGACUGCCAGUGAUAAACUGGAGGAAGGUGGGGAUGACGUCAAGUCAUCAUGGCCCUUACGACCAGGGCUACACACGUGCUACAAUGGCGCAUACAAAGAGAAGCGACCUCGCGAGAGCAAGCGGACCUCAUAAAGUGCGUCGUAGUCCGGAUUGGAGUCUGCAACUCGACUCCAUGAAGUCGGAAUCGCUAGUAAUCGUGGAUCAGAAUGCCACGGUGAAUACGUU
rnacentral:rRNA from 1 species